UACGGAGGGUGCAAGCGUUAUCCGGAUUCACUGGGUUUAAAGGGUGCGUAGGUGGGUUUGUAAGUCAGUGGUGAAAUCUCCAAGCUUAACUUGGAAACUGCCGUUGAUACUAUAAAUCUUAAAUGUUGUGGAGGUGAGCGGAAUAUGUCAUGUAGCGGUGAAAUGCUUAGAUAUGACAUAGAACACCAAUUGCGAAGGCAGCUCACUACACAAAGAUUGACACUGAGGCACGAAAGCGUGGGGAUCAAACAGG
rnacentral:rRNA from 1 species